GGGAACGUUGGAGCCUAAUGCCAGCUAGGCUAGCCGUUGGGAGAUUCAUAAAAAGAGCUAUAAUUAGAGGCAAUCGGGAGAUUCAUACAUUCUAUUUGUGGCAGGGCAAGAGAGGGAAGAGGAUUUGUGGCAGGGAUUGGCAUUCCAUCUGUAUUGGAGUGUCUCCUCAUUCCAAAACAAUGGGCAGAAGAGGGUUUGUGGUAGGGCAGAAGAGUCAUUGGGUAGAAGGUGCUUACAGUUGAUGGAUCGCACCAUCAAAUGAUUCAUCUCUUUGAAAGAUUUAGAAAUAAGGGAAUGCUAGAAAUUUGUUAGCUCUCUCCUCUUUCAACUUGCUAAUCAUUCUCCUUUUAUGUAUUCUAACUGAUGACCCAAACAUGCAAUGAAAUUCUUGGUUCGUGGUUAAAGGACUUUACAGUGAGCUGGCUGCGAUCAAUCAGCUUCAAGUAGCUAUUUAUACAGCCAUUGGCGGAUUCAUAGUGAGCAAGAUAGUGAGCUGGUUGUGAUCGAUCAGUUUGGACAAGUGAGAACUUGAACACGGAGAAUUCAUCGGAGGAUUUUUGUACACGACAAUGAGAAUUGAACAUGAAGACUUCAAAGAAGGGAUCAACUUAUGGUAUUGUUUAAUAUUGGAAUGGAAGUACAAAAUAUGUAACGUUUCAUUUAAAUUGAUUAUUUUUAUUUAUUGUAAACAUUCUACAACAAUUAAAACUAAUAAAGAUAUACCAUUUUUUUUUGAGGGGUAGAAA